rnacentral:hammerhead_ribozyme from 1 species
AUCCAACUGACAAGUCCCAAAUGGGACGAAACGCGCGUCCUGGAU